CCUUACGGGCGGUGAGUGCAAGUUGGAUGUGAAAUACCGAGGCUUAACCUCGGGGCUGCAUCCAAAACUGUAGUUCUUGAGUGAAGUAGAGGUAAGCGGAAUUCCGAGUGUAGCGGUGAAAUGCGUAGAUAUUCGGAGGAACACCAGUGGCGAAGGCGGCUUACUGGGCUUUAACUGACGCUGAGGCACGAAAGCAUGGGUAGCAAACAGGAUUAGAUACCCUGGUAGUCCAUGCCGUAAACGAUGAUUGCUAGGUGUGGGGGGACUGACCCCUUCCGUGCCGGAGUUAACACAAUAAGCAAUCCACCUGGGGAGUACGACCGCAAGGUUGAAACUCAAAGGAAUUGACGGGGGCCCGCACAAGCAGUGGAGUAUGUGGUUUAAUUCGAAGCAACGCGAAGAACCUUACCAGGUCUUGACAUCCAACUAACGAAGUAGAGAUACAUUAGGUGCCCUUCGGGGAAAGUUGAGACAGGUGGUGCAUGGUUGUCGUCAGCUCGUGUCGUGAGAUGUUGGGUUAAGUCCCGCAACGAGCGCAACCCCUGCCGAUAGUUGCUACGCAAGAGCACUCUAUCGGGACCGCUACCGACAAGGUGGAGGAAGGUGGGGACGACGUCAAAUCAUCAUGCCCCUUAUGACCUGGGCUACACACGUACUACAAUGGCCGUUAACAGAGGGAAGCAAUAGGGCGACCUGGAGCAAAUCCCUAAAAACGGUCUCAGUUCAGAUUGCAGGCUGCAACUCGCCUGUAUGAAGUCGGAAUUGCUAGUAAUCGCGGAUCAGCAUGCCGCGGUGAAUACGUUCCCGGGCCUUGUACACACCGCCCGUA
rnacentral:rRNA from 1 species